UACGUAGGGGGCAAGCGUUGUCCGGAAUCAUUGGGCGUAAAGAGCGUGUAGGCGGCCCGGUAAGUCCGCUGUGAAAGUCCAGGGCUCAACCCUGGGAUGCCGGUGGAUACUGUCGGGCUCGAGUCCGGAAGAGGAGUGUGGAAUUCCUGGUGUAGCGGUGGAAUGCGCAGAUAUCAGGAGGAACACCAAUAGCGAAGGCAGCUCGCUGGGACGUUACUGACGCUGAGACGCGAAAGCGUGGGGAGCAAACAGG
rnacentral:rRNA from 1 species